rnacentral:rRNA from 1 species
AACGAACGCUGGCGGCGUGGAUAAGACAUGCAAGUCGAACGGGAACUUCAGCGUGUAGCAAUACAGUUGCAGUUUUAGUGGCGAACGGGUGCGUAACACGUGGGCAAUCUGCCGAGGAAAGGUGGGGGAUAGCUCGCCGAAAGGCGAAUUAAUACCGCAUAUGAUCAGCUAAGACAUCUUAGCGACAUCAAAGCCGGGGCAACCUGGCGCUUUUUGAGGAGGCCCGCGGCCUAUCAGCUAGUUGGUGAGGUAACGGCUCACCAAGG